rnacentral:rRNA from 1 species
AUUGAACGCUGGCGGCAGGCUUAACACAUGCAAGUCGAGCGGGGUGAUGGUGCUUGCACUAUCACUUAGCGGCGGACGGGUGAGUAAUGCUUAGGAAUCUGCCUAUUAGUGGGGGACAACAUCUCGAAAGGGAUGCUAAUACCGCAUACGUCCUACGGGAGAAAGCAGGGGAUCACUUGUGACCUUGCGCUAAUAGAUGAGCCUAAGUCGGAUUAGCUAGUUGGUGGGGUAAAGGCCUACCAAGGCGACGAUCUGUAGCGGGUCUGAGAGGAUGAUCCGCCACACUGGGACUGGAACGCGGCCCAGACUCCUACAGGAGGCAGCAGUGGGGAAUAUUGGACAAUGGGGGGAACCCUGAUCCAGCCAUGCCGCGUGUGUGAAGAAGGCCUUAUGGUUGUAAAGCACUUUAAGCGAGGAGGAGGCUCUUUUGGUUAAUACCCAAGAUGAGUGGACGUUACUCGCAGAAUAAGCACCGGCUAACUCUGUGCCAGCCGCCGCCGUAA